rnacentral:rRNA from 1 species
GGGCCCGCACAAGCGGCGGAGCAUGUUGCUUAAUUCGAGGCAACGCGAAGAACCUUACCUGGGUUUGACAUUUAGGGAAAAGCCAUAGAGAUAUGGUGUCCUUCGGGGCCCUAAACAGGUGGUGCAUGGCUGUCGUCAGCUCGUGUCGUGAGAUGUUGGGUUAAGUCCCGCAACGAGCGCAACCCUUAUCCUAUGUUGCCAGCGGUUCGGCCGGGGACUCGUAGGAGACUGCCGGGGUCAACUCGGAGGAAGGUGGGGACGACGUCAAGUCAUCAUGCCCCUUAUGUCCAGGGCUGCAAACAUGCUACAAUGGCUGGUACAACGGGCAGCGACACCGCGAGGUGAAGCGAA